UACGUAGGGUGCAAGCGUUGUCCGGAAUUAUUGGGCGUAAAGAGCGCGCAGGCGGUCGUGCAAGUCGCGUGUGAAAGCCCCCGGCUCAACUGGGGAGGGUCACGCGAUACUGCUCGACUUGAAGGCAGGAGAGGGAAGUGGAAUUCCCGGUGUAGUGGUGAAAUGCGUAGAUAUCGGGAGGAACACCAGUGGCGAAGGCGACUUCCUGGCCUGUUCUUGACGCUGAGGCGCGAAAGCUAGGGUAGCAAACGGG
rnacentral:rRNA from 1 species